rnacentral:rRNA from 1 species
UACGAAGGGUGCUAGCGUUGUUCGGAUUUACUGGGCGUAAAGGGCGCGUAGGCGGCCUUCUCAGUCGGGUGUGAAAGCCCGGGGCUCAACCCCGGAACGGCACCCGAGACGGGAAGGCUGGAGACCGGGAGAGGAGGGUGGAAUAGCCAGUGUAGAGGUGAAAUUCGUAGAUAUUGGCUGGAACACCGGUGGCGAAAGCGGCUCUCUGGCCCGGUUCUGACGCUGAGGCGCGAAAGCGUGGGGAGCAAACAGG